CCCCCAGUGCUGGAAAUGGCAGACAGGCUCGGUUUGCAACCGAGUGCCCAUUCCGGGCGUCCGGGUCCGAUCCCCGGCUGGGGGACCA
rnacentral:tRNA from 1 species